rnacentral:misc_RNA from 1 species
AAGAAGAAGAAGAAGAAGAAAAGAUAUGCUGGAACGAAGUUAACACUUAUUCUCUUUCUUGUUCCUUAGAUUUAUUUAAUAUGAUUUGAUAGCUAAUAAAUCAAUUUUAUCUGUUGGAAUUCAUAGAGUUCCAGAAGAACUUAUUCUUUAUCUGUCCCUUCUGUUUUUUUGGCUCUUUGAAGUUCUUGAUUUCAUGAAUGCAAUUGUUUUCAAGAUGGUCUAACAGGUGUCGGAUGAAGGUGAUGUGC